CCUGCUUUGAGUCUCACGGAUGCACAUCACAGGAAGCUCCUGAUCUCCCACGAAAGUUGUUUCUAACACCUUCUCCCUCUGCUCCCCUUUGUUCUCCGCAAUGAGCACCUAUGCUCUGCCGCCGCCUCCGCCAUUAGAGAACAAAUGUACCGAGCAACGGCAAUUUCUUUGAGGAGGCAUCGCCUCCUGCUGCUCCAGAUUACAGCUCAUUAGUAGCGGCGUCGGAGAGACACAGCCCACACCGCGGCUCCCCCCCGAUCCCCUCGUCGCUUCCUGCAAUCCCGGUGUGGCGGGACACCGUGACAAAAGCGGCGGAGGUGGUGGUUGUGACGGUGGGGUGUUUUGGACGGGGGGCAAAGACAAGCAGCGAGGGGACUCACAGUUCACCGUUUGCCAGCUGCUGGUGGAGAUGCGAAGAAGCGCUUCGGGGGACUGGAAUGGCGUUGAAGUGAAAGGAAUGCCAGGUUGUUGUCCAAGAGGACGGCGUGUCGCGUUGCUGGCUUGAUCGAGGACCACACGGCGCUGCUGCUGGUUGCCAGAUUUUGGAUUAUCCCGCCUAACAAUGGGCCAAAAGGACCGUUUGGACCGUCUCUCCCUCCGAGCUGCCAGGGGCCGCUCUGCCCCCCCGGCCCCCCAAAGGCUCUCCUCCCCAUUGCACGCACAUGGACGCACGGCCUCUCUGGGACCAGGCUCCCCCCCCCCUCACAUUGAGACUGUUAUUUAACGUGUCCUUGUGUUUAUGGCCAUCCAGUGGCCCACAAGAGAGCCGUGACUUUUAUUAAGUUGGCUGUCCGCUGUGCGUCUGCAGAACCUGUCUUUGUGUUUGACAUCUGCUGGGAGCAACGCUGGAAUACGUGACCUCCAGGCGCGCAGACAGAACGUAACCAUGGUGGAGACCAGGAUCAGAUCACACUCCGGCUGUCAGAGUCACGACCCCAACUGGAUCAGAGUGAAACCCGUGAAAUAGAACCGGCGCUUUCAGCGUCAGAACCCCAAACCAAAUCUGUCACUCAAACGGCAAACGGAGACCCAGGAAAGGCAGGAGGAGCAAAUGGGAAAGAGAGGAAUUCCUAGAUAGAAAAAUAAGAUAUGCGACCUGGAUCGAUGUCCAGAAGAGGGCCAUUAUACAGACCAGCAGAGAAGACAUCUUCUUGGUGCUGAAGCUUUAAAGGAGAAAAUAGUGGGGAAGCAGCCAAAAAGCCACACAGGCGACUGGAGAUGUAAGACAAGCAGCGGAUGCUGGACGAAAUGGGAAUGAGGAAUAAACCGAUAAAGAAAAACAAAAGGAUCCAGAUACUUUGAUUGUGGCUUCGGGAUGAUUAGUAUGCAAUGUAAUGUCAUGAUAUAGUGUGUCAUAAAAAAACUCAUAAAAAGUCAUAGUAAAGCAUGCAAUAAUAUUUUUGUGAAAAUCUCAUAAAAUAGCAGCUCAUGAAACAUGUCAUAAUAUAUGAUAAAUCUUUGAAAUAAUGCCAUAGCAAUAUCUUCGAAAUGUAAUGAAUAUCAUCAUGAAAAAGUCAUAGAAAUCAUAGCAUGGUUUGUCAUACUUUUAUCUUGUAUGUAUCUGGACUUUUAUCCAAUUUUCAACCUCAU
ensembl:lncRNA